AUAAAAGGAAACGAUUUAAAAAACGGAUAUUUCGUGAAAGAUUGAAACGUGUGGUAAGAAUGAAAUCACUUACCCUUUGGCAUCGCCAUUGGGAAAGAGAGAAAAAUUGUGACUUGGUCACUGCAUUCUUUCUCCAAUCAUAUCUUACUCUCUUUUCUCUCCCAUUUGAACACUUCAUCAAACACAUGGUGCCCUCACUCUUCAUCACAAUACUAGAUAUUCUCUACUUGCAAAGAUUGGAUUUUUCCACAUUAUUUGCCUCUGGUCCCUCCAUUACUAUUACCCCAUUUUCCCUUUCAAAUUUACUUCUCACUUUUUUCUUCUUUCUACUCAUUCAUAUACUUUUGCCUCCAUUUGUUAUAUACUCUUUCUUUAUACCUUAA